ACACAUGCAAGUCGGACGGAGCUUAGAGAGCUUGCUUUUUAAGCUUAGUGGCGAACGGGUGAGUAACGCGUGAGUAACCUGCCCUAGAGUGGGGGACAACAGUUGGAAACGACUGCUAAUACCGCAUAAGCCCACGGUACCGCAUGGUACUGAGGGAAAAGGAUUUAUUCGCUUUAGGAUGGACUCGCGUCCAAUUAGCUAGUUGGUGAGGUAACGGCCCACCAAGGCGACGAUUGGUAGCCGGACUGAGAGGUUGAACGGCCACAUUGGGACUGAGACACGGCCCAGACUCCUACGGGAGGCAGCAGUGGGGGAUAUUGCACAAUGGGGGAAACCCUGAUGCAGCGACGCCGCGUGGAGGAAGAAGGUUUUCGGAUUGUAAACUCCUGUCGUUAGGGACGAUAAUGACGGUACCUAACAAGAAAGCACCGGCUAACUACGUGCCAGCAGCCGCGGUAAAACGUAGGGUGCAAGCGUUGUCCGGAAUUACUGGGUGUAAAGGGAGCGCAGGCGGGAAGACAAGUUGGAAGUGAAAACCAUGGGCUCAACCCAUGAAUUGCUUUCAAAACUGUUUUUCUUGAGUAGUGCAGAGGUAGAUGGAAUUCCCGGUGUAGCGGUGGAAUGCGUAGAUAUCGGGGGGAACACCAGUGGCGAAGGCGGUCUACUGGGCACCAACUGACGCUGAGGCUCGAAAGCAUGGGUAGCAAACAGGAUUAGAUACCCUGGUAGUCCAUGCCGUAAACGAUGAUUACUAGGUGUUGGGGGAUUGACCCCCUCAGUGCCGCAGUUAACACAAUAAGUAAUCCACCUGGGGAGUACGACCGCA
rnacentral:rRNA from 1 species